rnacentral:rRNA from 1 species
UUUUUACAAUGGAGAGUUUGAUCCUGGCUCAGGAUGAACGCUAGCGGCAGGCCUAACACAUGCAAGUCGAGGGGUAACAGGGAGAAGCUUGCUUCUCCGCUGACGACCGGCGCACGGGUGCGUAACGCGUAUGCAACCUACCUCUUACUGGGGUAUAGCCCAGAGAAAUUUGGAUUAACCCCCCAUAGUACCAUUAUAUCGCAUGAUAUUUUGGUUAAAGGUUACGGUAAGAGAUGGGCAUGCGUCCCAUUAGUUUGUUGGUGAGGUAAUGGCUCACCAAGACGUCGAUGGGUAGGGGUUCUGAGAGGAUGAUCCCCCACACUGGUACUGAGACACGGACCAGACUCCUACGGGAGGCAGCAGUGA